UCAUUCCUACGGGAGGCAGCAGUGAGGAAUAUUGGUCAAUGGGAGAGAUCCUGAACCAGCCACGCCGCGUGAGGGAAGACGGCCCUAUGGGUUGUAAACCUCUUUUGUCGGAGAACAAAACCCGGGACGUGUCCCGGACUGCGUGUAUCCGAAGAAAAAGCAUCGGCUAACUCCGUGCCAGCAGCCGCGGUAAUACGGAGGAUGCGAGCGUUAUCCGGAUUUAUUGGGCGUAAAGGGAACGCAGGCGGUCUUUUAAGUCUGAUGUGAAAGCCUUCGGCUUAACCGGAGUAGUGCAUUGGACACUG
rnacentral:rRNA from 1 species